UCACUUUGGUCAAAUUGAUGGUUGCAGGAAAUGGAGUUGCAGACAAUGUGAUCCAGUGAUAGAGUUGUUGGAGACAUGGAUGCCAUUGUUACCAACUUGGGUGAUGGAGAACAUACUAGACCAGCUUGUGUUACCACGGUUGAUGCAGGAGGUCGAAAACUGGAACCCACUCACAGACACCAUGCCUAUACAUGCCUGGCUACACCCUUGGUUACCUCUCAUGGGUUCUAAUUCAGAAAAAACAGUUUAGCACAGUUCAAAGCAGUUUACCAGUGGAUCCAUGGGUUCAGCUUGUUAUUGGUUGUGACUAGAUGACAGAGAUAGGAUUUCUGAAGGAUACAGCCAACAAUAGCUGAAAACAGUGGAAAGCUGGUAGACGUCUUUUCUGUAAAUAAAGCACUAUUUGUGAGUUACUUUUAUGUCAAUCACAUAAAGGUAAGUACAUUACAUGGUCUGUAAAGUCCAUAUUUUAAUUUGAAAAUUCCUAAAUUUAGCCCUAAAAUUUACUUAAAAUUGUACCAAAUUCCUAAUUUUAGCCCUAUUUUUUUGUACAAAUUGCCCUAAAAUUAGCCCUAAUUUUUUGUCAGGGUAUGCUAGACAGCCUGCUAUAGAUAUUUUUGCAUUUAAGGUAAUAUUCCUGCUUCUGGAACAACAGUUCGAAUAGUCGAGCAUUGGCUUUUACAGACAGCUCUUGUUAUUAAAUAA